rnacentral:rRNA from 1 species
UCGACAAAGAGGGGCGAACGGGUGAGUAACACGGGGGUAACCUUACCUCAUAGGCAGGGGAUAACACUUGGAAACAAGUGCUAAUACCGUAUAAUACCAACAACCGCAUGGUUGUUGGUUGAAAGAUGGUUCUGCUAUCACUAAGAGAUGGACCCGCGGUGCAUUAGCUAGUUGGUAAGGUAACGGCUUACCAAGGCAAUGAUGCAUAGCCGAGUUGAGAGACUGAUCGGCCACAAUGGGACUGAGACACGGCCCAUACUCCUACGGGAGGCAGCAGUAGGGAAUCUUCCACAAUGGGCGCAAGCCUGAUGGAGCAACGCCGCGUGUGUGAUGAAGGGUUUCGGCUCGUAAAACACUGUUAUAAGAGAAGAACGGCACUGAGGGUAACUGUUCAGUGUGUGACGGUAUCUUACCAGAAAGGAACGGCUAAAUACGUGCCAGCAGCCGCGGUAAUACGUAUGUUCCAAGCGUUAUCCGGAUUUAUUGGGCGUAAAGCGAGCGCAGACGGUUAUUUAAGUCUGAAGUGAAAGCCCUCAGCUCAACUGAGGAAUGGCUUUGGAAACUGGAUGACUUGAGUGCAGUAGAGGAAAGUGGAACUCCAUGUGUAGCGGUGAAAUGCGUAGAUAUAUGGAAGAACACCAGUGGCAAAGGCGGCUUUCUGGACUGUAACUGACGUUGAGGCUCGAAAGUGUGGGUAGCAAACAGGAUUAGAUACCCUGGUAGUCCACACCGUAAACGAUGAGUGCU